rnacentral:rRNA from 1 species
GACGAACGCUGGCGGCGUGCCUAAUACAUGCAAGUAGGACGCAGUUGCGAACGGGUGAGUAACGCGUAGGUACCUGCCUAUUAGAGGGGGAUAACUAUUGGAAACGAUAGCUAAUACCGCAUACUAGUAGCUGGACCUGCGUGGUAUUAGCUAGUAGGUAGGGGAAUGGCCUACCUAGGCGACGCUACAUAGCCGACCGGGGAGGGGUAUCGGACACAAUGGGAAGGAGACACGGGCCAGAAUCCUAUGGGAGGAAGCAGUAGGGAAGCAGCGGGAAUGGGGGGAACCCUGACCGAGCAACGCCGCGGGAGUGAAGAAGGUUUUCGGAGUGUAAAGCUCUGUUGUUAAGGAAGCGGUAUCUAACCAGAAAGCCACGGCUAACGACGUGCCAGCAGCCGCGGUAAUUC